CGGGGUGCACCAGGCGCGAAAACUUUACAAUGCUGGCAACAGCGAUAAGGGGACCUCGAGUGCCAGGUUACAAAUCUGGCUGUCGUGAUGCCUAAAAAGCAUUGCAUAGCAAGGGCCGGGCAAGACCGGUGCCAGCCGCCGCGGUAACACCGGCGGCUCGAGUGGUAACCGUUAUUAUUGGGUCUAAAGGGUCUGUAGCCGGCCGGAUAAGUCUCUUGGGAAAUCUGGCAGCUUAACUGUCAGGCUUUCAGGAGAUACUGUCUGGCUCGAGGCCGGGAGAGGUGAGAGGUACUUCAGGGGUAGGGGUGAAAUCUUGUAAUCCUUGAAGGACCACCAGUGGCGAAGGCGUCUCACCAGAACGGACCUGACGGCAAGGGACGAAAGCUAGGGGCACGAACCGGAUUAGAUACCCGGGUAGUCCUAGCCGUAAACGAUACUCGCUAGGUGUCGGCCACGGUGCGACCGUUGUCGGUGCCGUAGGGAAGCCGUGAAGCGAGCCACCUGGGAAGUACGGCCGCAAGGCUGAAACUUAAAGGAAUUGGCGGGGAGCAC
rnacentral:rRNA from 1 species